UUAAUAGGAAGUUCUCAUUUAUGGGUUUAGUAACUUAACUUUAACCUGUCAUUACUUUCAGAUCAUUCCUCUUACUUUUCUUGGGAAGUCUUUCAGUUUGACAGUAGAGUAAACCAUAUUGAUGUGCUGUGCAGGGGUAAUACUAUCCAAAGGCUUUAUCAGAACUUUUAUUAUUUGUCAUGCCUCAUAAAAAGACAUCCUUUUCUUUUUUGAAUCUUUUCUAUUUUGUUACAGAAAAAUAGCCUUCAAGAGAUGCUGCUGAAAUUUGGACAGUUUUCUCUGUUGGUUGAUACACCAAAAAUACAUCCUUUAAUCAGGUUUCUAACUUCAAAAGGUGUUCCAAGUCAUGACCUCCAAACAGAGAUGUGAUGUUUCUAAAGCAAAGGCUUGGGAGUCAACACUUUGUUCCAAAGAUAUAGUCUGGGAAAUGUCUCAACUUAGUACCUUUGAUAAAGCUUUUUAGGUUCACUGCAAUAACAUUUUCCAAUAAAAAUCACUGAGCCUA